rfam:Lasius niger Lnig_2.1_1549, whole genome shotgun sequence.
GGCUGCGCUGCACCUUUACCAGGAUCUGCAGUAUCCUUUGAUAACCCUCUGCCGCAGGGUGGGUCAGCACAGCC